CCAUAAGACUUGAAAGAAUCCAGUCAUGACCUGGGAGGAAAGAGUGUUUCGAAAAGAGUUCUGCCUUACUUUCUUCUAUUGAUUGAGAACCUCGAGGAAAAACCCUUAAGCCAUGCCUUUCUUAAACAACCAAUUCUCCCAUAUCAUCAGAAGAAGGCGAUUCCCUUUUUCUUAAGUUAAGAGCUGACCCGCAGGGAAGUAAUCCCCUUCUCCUAGAGUCGGAGUCAGGGCAUCAGUUGGAGUUCAUGCUUUACCGGGUCUAGGAUCCCUAUCGGAUAAGGGGUGGCAGGUCAAAUUCUUUACAUGGGUCCCAAGCUGUCCCUUAGUCUAUUCCCUUGUUCGAAGCCUUGGCAGCAGUCCAUUCCUACCGUACUCCGGCUAUUCGAUCUGUCUGUGUAUCGCGUAGAGCACGUACUAUGAGUCCAACUCCUCUUAGUGUAAGAAUCAAUCUGGUAGUUUCCCCUUUUUUGGUGUAAGGGGCUUGUUGCUUACAAAUGUGUUCCUUCUUGCAGUGAAGUAAGGAACGAUUUCUCUCUAUUCCUUGAGGUGUGGGACCAUUGACAUUGGCCUUUGGCACAGGCG
rnacentral:lncRNA from 1 species